rnacentral:rRNA from 1 species
GAUGAACGCUGGCGGCGUGCCUAAUACAUGCAAGUCGAGCGAACGGACGAGAAGCUUGCUUUUCUGAUGUUAGCGGCGGACGGGUGAGUAACACGUGGAUAACCUACCUAUAAGACUGGGAUAACUUCGGGAAACCGGAGCUAAUACCGGAUAAUAUUUUGAACCGCAUGGUUCAAAAGUGAAAGACGGUCUUGCUGUCACUUAUAGAUGGAUCCGCGCUGCAUUAGCUAGUUGGUAAGGUAACGGCUUACCAAGGCAACGAUGCAUAGCCGACCUGAGAGGGUGACCGGCCACACUGGAACUGAGACACGGUCCAGACUCCUACGGGAGGCAGCAGUAGGGAAUCUUCCGCAAUGGGCGAAAGCCUGACGGAGCAACGCCGCGUGAGUGAUGAAGGUCCUCGGAUCGUAAAACUCUGUUAUUAGGGAAGAACAUAUGUGUAAGUAACUGUGCACAUCUUGACGGUACCUAAUCAGAAAGCCACGGCUAACUACGUG